UUUUCUCCCUAUGCCUUCUCCUCCCUUUUUAUCCUGCGAUACAUUUUCUAUUUCCUCAUCAAAGUCCACCUCCGCUCGAUCUUGCCAUUUAAUCUAGGUAGAAGCCAGCACCAGAGCUCUACUUGACCCCUGUCGAUGCCGUGCUCCAUCACGACCUGCUGCAGUGGAACUAUCAGGGCUGCAGCACCUGGCAGGAGUUUAUCCCCACACUGUCAGGAGGUAUUGGAGGACAGCGGCAUGAAUAUCCUGACAAGGGCCAUGGCGUUAUGGAGGGAAGAGGGUGCUGCUGGCUGGCUGCUCCUAGCGUGGCUGGACAAAGGAUGAAGGAGGACGAGAUUGAUCUUGCUUCUCCCCGCUUGAGGAGGGUCUACAGAGAAGAUCUGGGGCAGAGGAUGAAGUAGGACGAGAUUGCAGAGAGGAUUGGGUAGAAGAUGUAGUUGUUCCUCAGGAGGAUAGGAGGAUUGACGAAUGAGGUCAUGUAAUCUCUUGAUUUGAUGCUACAGCAUUGCCAGCAGCUUAUGCCAGCUUUCUGAUAACCCUUGUUGUUUGCUUCCCAUGCUUAAUUUAUUCUGUAAAUAGCAUGACAUGACUUUCUUUAUUGUUCAUCUUCCAUGUUAACUCA